rnacentral:rRNA from 1 species
UACGUAGGGUGCGAGCGUUAAUCGGAAUUACUGGGCGUAAAGCGCGCGCAGGCGGCCCGCGAGGUGUCACGUGAAAGCCCCGGGCUCAACCCGGGAGGGUCGUGGCAAACCGGCGGGCUUGAGGCCGGUAGAGGUGGGUGGAACUCCUGGUGGAGUGGUGAAAUGCGUAGAGAUCAGGAAGAACACCCGUGGCGAAGGCGGCCCACUGGGCCGGUACUGACGCUGAGGCGCGAAGGCGUGGGGAGCGAACGGG